rnacentral:rRNA from 1 species
UCUAGUAUAAGCAUCUAUACGGUGAACUGCGAAUGGCUCAUUAAAUCAGUUAUCGUUUAUUUGAUAGUACCUUACUACUUGGAUAACCGUGGUAAUUCUAGAGCUAAUACAUGCUAAAAACCCCGACUUCGGAAGGGGUGUAUUUAUUAGAUAAAAAACCAAUGCCCUUCGGGGCUCCUUGGUGAUUCAUAAUAACUUAACGAAUCGCAUGGCCUUGUGCCGGCGAUGGUUCAUUCAAAUUUCUGCCCUAUCAACUUUCGAUGGUAGGAUAGUGGCCUACCAUGGUUUCAACGGGUAACGGGGAAUUAGGGUUCUAUUCCGGAGAGGGAGCCUGAGAAACGGCUACCACAUCCAAGGAAGGCAGCAGGCGCGCAAAUUACCCAAUCCCGACACGGGGAGGUAGUGACAAUAAAUACUGAUACAGGGCUCUUUUGGGUCUUGUAAUUGGAAUGAGUACAAUUUAAAUCCCUUAACGAGGAACAAUUGGAGGGCAAGUCUGGUGCCAGCAGCCGCGGUAAUUCCAGCUCCAAUAGCGUAUAUUAAAGUUGUUGCAGUUAAAAAGCUCGUAGUUGAACCUUGGGCCUGGCUGGCCGGUCCGCCUCACCGCGUGCACUGGUCCGGCCGGGUCUUUCCUUCUGGGGAGCCGCAUGCCCUUCACUGGGUGUGUCGGGGAACCAGGACUUUUACUUUGAAAAAAUUAGAGUGUUCAAAGCAGGCCUAUGCUCGAAUACAUUAGCAUGGAAUAAUAGAAUAGGACGUGUGGUUCUAUUUUGUUGGUUUCUAGGACCGCCGUAAUGAUUAAUAGGGAUAGUCGGGGGCAUCAGUAUUCAAUUGUCAGAGGUGAAAUUCUUGGAUUUAUUGAAGACUAACUACUGCGAAAGCAUUUGCCAAGGAUGUUUUCAUUAAUCAGUGAACGAAAGUUAGGGGAUCGAAGACGAUCAGA